GGUGCUGCUGCUGCUGUUGCUGCUGCUGCUGCAGCAGCAGCAGCAGCAGCAGAGGCAGCAGCAGAGAGAACAAAGGCUUCUGUCUCUGAGU
rnacentral:snoRNA from 1 species